rnacentral:rRNA from 1 species
UGGGGAAUAUUGGGCAAUGGGCGCAAGCCUGACCCAGCAACGCCGCGUGAAGGAAGAAGGCUUUCGGUUGUAAACUUCUUUUAUUGAGGACGAAACAAAUGACGGUACUCGAUGAAUAAGCCACGGCUAACUACGUGCC